rnacentral:lncRNA from 1 species
CUCCAUUCCACGGUGACUACGACUUUUGAAGCAGAAGCGAUAGCAUGUUAUGAAGCGGUUCUCAUGGGGAAGGAGAUGGGCUUCUCAGACAUCCUCGUUGAAGGAGAUUCCAAAACAAUUAUCAACAAAUGCAUGAAAAAAUCCAGAGACAAAUCGCAUGUUAGUACUUAUAUCAGCAACAUUCAUAGUGAAAAGAGCAGUUUCCAGAAUAUCUCGUUUCUCUUUGUUCGAAGAUCGGCUAACCAGUUAGCCCAUAUCAUUGCCACAAUAAGUCUAAGGAAUAAGGAAGAAAUCUACCUGUUUGAUGCGGUGCCUGGGUAUGCCACACACCAGUCGGAACUGGAAAGACCAAGAGAGCCCGACUGAAAUGAAGAGUCAGAUAGCAGAGACGGAGGGUGUAGAGAGACCCUUCAUCAGAAUAGUUUUCAUUUCUCUCAGGCGUUACCCCUAUUGAAACUGAACUGGCACUUAGGAAAAAGGAAAGUGGGGGACAGCUCUUUUACAACGAACGGGGAUAUCAAGUCUUUAGGUGUUUUUGUUUGUUCUAGAG